rnacentral:rRNA from 1 species
UACGUAGGGGGCAAGCGUUGUCCGGAUUUAUUGGGCGUAAAGAGCUCGUAGGUGGUUCGGUAAGUCGGAUGUGAAAUCUCCAGGCUCAACCUGGAGGGGUCAUUCGAUACUGCCGUGACUAGAGGUCGGUAGGGGAGUGUGGAAUUCCCGGUGUAGCGGUGAAAUGCGCAGAGAUCGGGAGGAACACCAAUGGCAAAAGCAGGUACCUGGACUAUUACUGAUACUCAGCUGCGAAAGCUAGGGGAGCAAACAGG